rnacentral:misc_RNA from 1 species
CACUUUUGGUGCGGCCAACCGAACAUAGGGCUGUCUCUUCACUCUCCCGCCCGUCACUGAACGCGUCGUGGUCGGGAUGGUUCCGAUCGGUUGCCUGUGCGGUUCUACCCCGUGUGGGUAGCGAAGCCGUCCCUCGAUGGAUAUCUGCUUGCCCUCUCUGACAUUUUUGUGUCGUUCGGGCAGCCGAAAUGUUGGCGAGAUCCCUGUGCUGUCGCGCGGUUGAACGCCGUGUUGCCAUCGCUCGGACUCUUGCCGGCUCUCACGGAUGCGGUGCCURGCGCUGGCUCUGUGGGACUCUGCCCCGCAGGCUUCGGGAGGUCCCUUGUGCGAAUCACUGCUCUUAUACGCCGUUUGUCGUGCCGCUGCCGCGGCACGCAGAUCGUGUUCUUUCGUGCAGUCGUUGACAGCACGAUAGCGAACAUUAGUGUCCGGAGCGUGGUCUCGUGCAGGCGGAAUGCCUCCCCGAUCGUACGAGCAGCGAUUUCCGGCUCGCGUCACGCGAAGGCCCCGCCCGUCCGGGUCGGUGCCGGAGCUGACGCGUCGGCUCUCGUUGAAGACGUGCUACCUGGUUGAU